ensembl:lncRNA
CUUUGUGAUAGCAGGUGGUGAAAUAUUUGGUGAAAAAGCAUUUAACUGGAAUUCCUUCACGGAAGAGGAGACUCACAUUCAGCUCAUUUGGGACUCUGGAGACACAAUCGGGUGUGAAGCCUGGUCCAGUUGAUAGCAUGGAGGUUCAGAAACCAACUAACUCCUGUGCUGAUGGAAUAAGCCAUCAAUUAUGCCCCAAAAAAUGCUUAAAAUGUUUUGCAAGAGUUCCCUCUACAAAGCUCUCCAUGGACCUUCUCCAGAAACAUAUGCUAACUUUACUCCACUUACUGCCCCUCGUGACAACUGUGGACAUGCCAGCCAAAGUUCCCCUGUUUGAGUCUGCCUUUGGGCCAGUGCAAGCUGGCAGUGUAUCUUCUCAACCUCCACAGCCAAAAACCCAUGAAAUUGUGAAGAUACCUGAUGCCUGUUCUGCACCACCACUUCCAUUAGAAGACUGCAGGCUUCAGUCUUCUCAGUGUCUAUGUACUUGUUCAUCAGGAGCAGCUCCAUAACAAAGCAUUAGACACAACCUCCAAAAUGCACCAAAUGGCAUCAGCUUAGGAAAAGGAAAAUAACAACCUCAUGUUUCCCAGAGGUACCAGGGAAGACAUCCACAGACCACCUAGCGGAACGGGUGUUCAAGGGAUCUGGUAUGCAGACCAUGGAGAUGAAAAGGGGGCUGCACAAUGAAAAAUGGUAACUUCUUCCGAUGUGGCUUUGUAGUCCACCCAGAUGCCCCAUGGUUAGGAUCACCUCCAGAUGGCAUCAUAUUUGACCCAAUUUUU